rnacentral:rRNA from 2 species
GGGUGCGAUCAUACUAGCACGAAUGCACCAGAUCCCAUCAGUGCAAGCGUGCUUUGGCGAGAGUAGUACUAGGAUAGGUGACCUCCCGGGAAGUCCUCGUGUUGCACCCC